UUUUGCCUCAAUUAGCACAGGUCACGACAGGUAAGGAACUUCUAACAACACGUCGAGGCUUCUACAUCACUGGCAGGCGUCAAAUGUUAGUACAUUUGACGCUGGUAGCCCAAAAGUAGCCCUAUUUUUCUUUGAUUUUAUGUCACCAUAGCCUAUCACCAUAACAUAUCGUCGAUUCCUGAAUCGAUUCCUUGAUCCUGAUUAAACCGAGAGCUCCCUCACUCUAGUUCACUCUGACCAAGGCUUCUGACAUAGCCCAAACCAUCAGCAAGUUGAAGAAAAGAGAGAAGCUAUGCUUGCAGUGAGAGCGAUGGCUGCUGACGAUAUAAAAAGGAAAUGGUUGGAUGAGGAGGCCGGGUGUGAUGACGCUCUUUAGUAAAGACG